AUUUUGUUCUAUGUUCUUGUUGUUUAAGAAAAUAAAAAAGUCACUCCACUUUCUUUUCAAACAUCCCAAUGCCCCUAGGAAAUGCUUUCAGCAGGUCCUUUUUCAUCUUUCUGAAGCAGACAGGUUACUGUCCUUUGGUGACUCGUGAACCAAGGUGGGGCAUAAACAUUACAUUAACUAUACAACUGAAAUGACUUGUGAACCGAGGGCUUUUCGGGUGUUUGUGAGGGGAUUCGGGAGUGAUUCCAAUUGCCAGCAGAUAAGUCCUUACCAGAGCGUGUUUUUUAAUAUUUAAGAGAUAAAAGUGUACUUCUACGACUUUCCCUUCUUUCAUAAUUAAUACGGGGAAACUUUGAUGGAGAGUGAUGUCCAAGAAGGUGAAAAACAAAAGAUUCUUUUUUGGGGAUCUAGAUGAUAAGUUUGACCUGGUCGCUUCUCAGUUAUUUUUCACCUCUGCAAGCUGUCCUUUCUGUAGUGUUGCUGAUUUUACUUUUAACCGUUUUAACCGCUAACGUUUAUUUACCAGCAGGAAUGCUGUAAAAGCCAUGUAACAAUGGAGGAAUACCCAGGAGUCACAGAACCAUGUGGGCAGGAGUUGAAUCUUUUAAAAUGGAUGGAUGCCAGUGGGAGAAGAUGCCUCAUCGUGAAAAGAAGCAACUCUGGGAUUGGACAGCACGGAGGAGAUGAAUUCACUCGUAACCAUCACCAAACAGCUGAUGCCUACAGCGCUUAAUUAUUUCAUGCAUUGGGCAACAGUGGGUUCUGGGAUGAUUUAACCCAUCGGGUCAUUAACAGUGCGGUAUAGUGAAAGCAACAAGCGCAUCGCUGUCAUUUUAAGAACUUUGAUUGGACUGAACUGAUGGGAUGGGACCAAUAAAUGCAAGAAAAUAACUUAUCGUUUUAUAGGCUGUUUUUACUACUGUUUAUGUAUUAAUACUCUCCACGGCCGUGGCUGUGCGUGCUGUG